rnacentral:rRNA from 1 species
UCAGGACGAACGCUGGCGGCGUGCUUAACACAUGCAAGUCGAGCGGUAAGGCCCUUCGGGGUACACGAGCGGCGAACGGGUGAGUAACACGUGGGUGAUCUGCCUCGCACUCUGGGAUAAGCCUGGGAAACUGGGUCUAAUACCGGAUAUGACCACCGGUCGCAUGGUUGGUGGUGGAAAGAUUUAUCGGUGCGAGAUGGGCCCGCGGCCUAUCAGCUUGUUGGUGGGGUAAUGGCCUACCAAGGCGACGACGGGUAGCCGGCCUGAGAGGGCGACCGGCCACACUGGGACUGAGACACGGCCCAGACUCCUACGGGAGGCAGCAGUGGGGAAUAUUGCACAAUGGGCGAAAGCCUGAUGCAGCGACGCCGCGUGAGGGAUGACGGCCUUCGGGUUGUAAACCUCUUUCGACAGGGACGAAGCGCAAGUGACGGUACCUGUAGAAGAAGCACCGGCCAACUACGUGCCAGCAGCCGCGGUAAUACGUAGGGUGCGAGCGUUGUCCGGAAUUACUGGGCGUAAAGAGCUUGUAGGCGGUUCGUCGCGUCGAUCGUGAAAACGUGCAGCUCAACUGCACGCUUGCGGUCGAUACGGGCGGACUAGAGUACUGCAGGGGAGACUGGAAUUCCUGGUGUAGCGGUGAAAUGCGCAGAUAUCAGGAGGAACACCGGUGGCGAAGGCGGGUCUCUGGGCAGUAACUGAC